rnacentral:rRNA from 1 species
CCUACGGGAGGCAGCAGUGAGGAAUAUUGGUCAAUGGCCGCAAGGCUGAACCAGCCAAGUCGCGUGAAGGAAGAAGGAUCUAUGGUUUGUAAACUUCUUUUAUAGGGGAAUAAAGGUAUCCACGUGUGGAUAUUUGCAUGUACCCUAUGAAUAAGCAUCGGCUAACUCCGUGCCAGCAGCCGCGGUAAUACGGAGGAUGCGAGCGUUAUCCGGAUUUAUUGGGUUUAAAGGGUGCGUAGGUUGUUUUUUAAGUCAGCGGUGAAAGUUUGUGGCUCAACCAUAAAAUUGCCGUUGAUACUGGAAGGCUUGAGUGUAUUUGAGGUAGGCGGAAUGCGUGGUGUAGCGGUGAAAUGCAUAGAUAUCACGCAGAACUCCGAUUGCGAAGGCAGCUUACUAAGCCAUAACUGACACUGAAGCACGAAAGCGUGGGGAUCAAACAGGAUUAGAUACCCCAGUAGUC